AUGGUUUCUUUGGUUCUGAUGCUGCAAGAGAAAGGAGUCAUGCCAGCACUAAAACUGUCAAUCAGUCAAGAGAAAACUGGCCUUCUGCUUAUUCUCUUUUUGGCAAUCAUCACAGGUGUUCAAUCACAGAUCCAGCUGGUGGAGUCUGGAGGGGAUGUCAAAAGGCCUGGAGAGUCACUCCAUCUCUCCUGUCGAGCCUCCGGCUUCACCUUCAGCAGCUACUGGAUGCAAUGGGUGCACCAGGCUCCUGGAAAGGGACUGGAAUGGAUAGGGGAAAUUAAUCCAGCUUCCUCCACCGUUCGCUACUCAAAUGCAGUGAAAAGGCACUUCACCAUCUCCAGGGACAAUGCCAACAAUCUGCUGUACUUGCAGUUAGGCAGCCUGAAAUCUGAAGACACGGCUCUGUAUUACUGUGCAAGAGACACAGUAAGAGGAAGUGACUCUGAGAUGACACAAAAACCACUGCCUCACAGCAGCUCUCCAGGAUGA